GAUGAAGAACGUAGCGAAAUGCGAUACUUGGUGUGAAUUGCAGAAUCCCGUGAACCAUCGAGUCUUUGAACGCAAGUUGCGCCUCAAGCCAUUAGGUUGAGGGCACGUCUGCCUGGGCGUCACAUAUCGUUGCCUGAUGCCAGUUUCCUCGUGAUGGGUGACUGUGCAGGGCGAAUGAUGGCUUCCCGUGAGCAUUGUUGCCUCAUGGUUGGUUGAAAAUUGAGUCCUUGGUAGGGAGCGCCGUGAUAGAUGGUGGUCGAGUUAGCCCGAGACCGAUCAUGUGCAUGCUCCCCAAAAUAUGGCCUCUGUGACCCACACGCGUCUUUUGACGCUCAUGACGAGACCUCAGGUCAGGCGGGGCUACCCGCUGAAUUUAAGCAUAUCAAUAAGCGGAGGA
rnacentral:misc_RNA from 1 species